GACGAACGCUGGCGGCGUGCCUAAUACAUGCAAGUCGAGCGGACUGAUUAAGAGCUUGCUCUUAUGACGUUAGCGGCGGACGGGUGAGUAACACGUGGGCAACCUGCCCUGUAGAUCGGGAUAACACCGAGAAAUCGGUGCUAAUACCGGGUAAUAUCUGAGAUCACAUGAUCUUAGGUUAAAAGAUGGCUCCGGCUAUCACUACAGGAUGGGCCCGCGGCGCAUUAGCUAGUUGGUAAGGUAAUGGCUUACCAAGGCGACGAUGCGUAGCCGACCUGGGAGGGUGAUCGGCUACACUGGGACUGAGACACGGCCCAGACUCCUACGGGAGGCAGCAGUAGGGAAUCUUCCGCAAUGGACGAAAGUCUGACGGAGCAACGCCGCGUGAGUGAUGAAGGGUUUCGGCCCGUAAAGCUCUGUUGUUAGGGAAGAAACAGUACCGAACGAACUAGGUCGGUACCUUGACGGUACCUAACCAGAAAGCCACGGCUAACUACGUG
rnacentral:rRNA from 1 species